UUAAUAAUUUUUUAUUAUUUAAUUAUUUAUUAAAGUGAGUUUAAGAAAAUUUUUUUUUGUUUUUGUAGUUGUUAAUGAUUAAAUUAAUUUAAUUAUAAAAAAAUUGUACUGUGAAGGUUUAUUUAAAUGUAAUUUAUCAAUAAAGUUGAAUUUAUUUUUUGUGCCUUGUGUAUCAGGAUUAAUUAAUAAUAAAUUAUUAAGUUAAUUAUCUUGAUUUUAUUAGAGUUAAUUAAUUAUUUAAGUUAUUGUUUUACAAAUAUUUAUAAUAAUUAAUUGGAAGUGAAAUGUUAUUCGUUUAUAAGGAUAUCUAGUUUUCUGGGAAAUAAAUUGAAUUUAUAUGUUUUUAAAGUCUUUUUCUUUAAUUUGGUUUAAUUAACAUAAAUAUUGAGGGAGAUAACUUCUUUAAUAUAUAUUUAUAAGAGAUAAAAUAUUUAAAUUUUUGUGAAUUUAAAAAUGAUUAUUAAUAUAAGUUUUUUAUAAUUUAGUUUUAUUAUAAAUUUAAUUUUAAUAUCUUUAAUGUAUUACUGGAAAAUUUUAUUUAAUUUAUAAUUGAUUUUUAUAAUGGUUAAAUUAGUAUAAAAUCUUAAAUAUAAGUUUAUUUAAUAAAUUUUAGGAAUUAGGCAAAUUUAAUUUGUUCGCUUGUUUAUCAAAAACAUCUUUUCUUGCUUUAAAUAUGAAAUAUGACCUGCCCAAUGAUAAAGUUAAAUGGCCGCGGUACACUGACCGUGCAAAGGUAGCAUAAUAAUUAGUGUCUUAAUUAGGGACUGGAAUGAAUGGUUAAACGAAAUAAAAUCUGUCUUGAAUUUAAAAAUUUGAAUUUAAUUAUUAAGUAAAAAAGCUUAAAUUUUUUUAUGGGACGAUAAGACCCUAUAGAAUUUAAUAGUUUAUUUUAUAUUUAGUUCGUAUUAGUAAAAUUAAAAUUAAAUUAUUUAAUUGGGGUGAUAUUAAGAUAAAAGUAACUCUUAUUUAUAAUUAUAUAUAUAUAUAUAAAUAUUAUUGAUCCAGUUAUAUUGAUUAUAAGAAUAAAUUACCUUAGGGAUAACAGCAUAAUCCUUUUUGAGAGUUCAAAUUGAUAAAAGGGGUUGUGACCUCGAUGUUGGAUUAAGAAUAGACUUUUGUGUAGAUGCUUAAGAUCUAGGUCUGUUCGACCUUUAAUUUCUUACAUGAUCUGAGUUCAAACCGGUGUAAGCCAGGUUGGUUUCUAUCUAUUAAGUAAUAAUAAUAUUUUAGUACGAAAGGACCAAGUAUUUGAAAUAAUUUUUAUUAAUUGAUUUUUAUUAAAU
rnacentral:rRNA from 1 species